GUAGGGAAUAUUGGGCAAUGGAUGCAAGUCUGACCCAGCCAUGCCGCGUGGAGGAAGAAGGUCCUCUGGAUUGUAAACUCCUUUUUUGGGGGAAGAAUAGUUCUCUUGCGAGGGAAUGUGACGGUACCCUAAGAAUAAGCCACGGCUAACUACGUGCCAGCAGCCGCGGUAAUACGUAGGUGGCAAGCGUUGUCCGGAUUUAUUGGGUUUAAAGGGUGCGUAGGUGGUUUGAUAAGUCAGUGGUGAAAGCUGGUUGCUCAACAAUCAAGUUGCCAUUGAUACUGUCGGACUUGAGAGAAGUGGAGGUUCAUGGAAUGGAUGGUGUAGCGGUGAAAUGCAUAGAUAUCAUCCAGAACGUCGAUUGCGAAGGCAGUGGGCUGUACCUUAAUCGACGCUGAUGCACGAAAGCAUGGGGAGCAAACAGGAUUAGAAACCCUGGUAGUCC
rnacentral:rRNA from 1 species